AACAGACUGUCUCAAAACAAUUACCCGGAUGUUUGCUGAUAAAAAAUAAUAACUCGUCGAAAUAUUAUCUAUUAUUCAGCCGACACAGUGGUCGAUUCACCGUGUGGCCCACGUCAGUAAUAAAUUGCGUGAGGUGAGUGUUUCGUAUACAAUCAAAAGGUUGCUGAUCUUAGGAUGCGUCACGAUAAAUGAUGACAAUAUGAAAAAAGGGGAAUUCACUGAUUGUGCGAUAGAGCCCAUCCAUUUUUCGAAUAUCCGAUUCAUCGAGUAAUCCUCUCUUAUCUGUGGUAUUCGUCGAUACGCAGGUGAAUACCAAGGUAUUGAAAAUAGAAGCCUGAAUGAUCUGGCUUCACACAAUCGUGCCUGUAAUCUCUCACCUUGGUGAGCUCUCCGGUUGCCAAAUAAACAGCGGGAAUGGAGGAAUAAGUGCACGGAUAGAAAACUCGUGGAAAACUUCAGAAAAUUUUUUCAAAUAAACGCGGGCAAAUUUCUACAUGCGUCACUUUUCAUCCCAAAAAGUCCGAAAUUUUGACUUAAUUUUUAUUCAUCCAUUCAUGUUGUUGGAAGAGCUGAUAAAACAAUGUGAAUGCUAAACUGAUAAUUUUCCUUCUGGCGUAUCAUAUGUCAAGAAAAGGAGAAAAUUGUCAUUCCUGUGAACAUGUUUCUCACAUUUUUUUAUACCACCCACUCACCGGUCAACUCAAGGAUAAAGUGCAAAGAGGGUGCAUCAGAGGGAAUUUAUUUUUAUAGCCACUAUCGGAGCCCUCGUGUGCGAGUCUCCCGUCAACUCUGACGAAAUAAUCGAUUGUCUCUCGAUAAAAAUAAAAUUAAAAGCUGCGAUAUAGCCGCCAGUGGAAAUAAGAGGAAUAAAUUGAAGGCAUAUGGGAACGUUUAUUGCCGGAUGAAUCGACAUUCUAUUGAUUUGAUUUGAUGGACCUGAUGGCGCUAACCCAUUGUCAUCGCGAGACAAUACACUAAGUUUCAUUAUCCUUGACCCGAAGAAAAUGCUCUCCCUCGGUUUCAUUUGUUAUCGAGCUGAUGGUGAAUUUUUGUCGUCGGGAUGACGGGGCAUUUGUACUAUCGGAAAUUCAUUCAGGGGGUCGGGCAUUACGCAGCACAUCAGUAGUGCAUUCCCGGGUGUAUGAAGUGUAAUGGAUUUCAAUUUUUCCAUUUCACAUUGGAGUGCAGUGAGAGGAAUUUUGAGCGAAAAAUCUAAAAAUUAUGAACAACAAUUUACGCGACGAAAAAAUUGUUAAAACCACGACUUUCCUAGUAUUCGACGGCAUUAACAAUUACCAACGGCAAUUUUUUAAAUAAUAAUAAAAUUGUCAUCAUGACAUCGGAACGAAGAGAAGGUACAGUUCGUGAGGUCUAACAUGAUUACAAAAAACCCUGAGAAAUGUUAUUCAAUAUCCCUGACAUUUACCUUCUUCCCCGUCC